UAACGCGAAGAACCUUACCUGGCCUUGACAUGCAAAGAACCUUCCAGAGAUGGGAGGGUGCCUUCGGGAACUCUGACACAGGUGCUGCAUGGCUGUCGUCAGCUCGUGUCGUGAGAUGUUGGGUUAAGUCCCGUAACGAGCGCAACCCUUGUCCUUAGUUACCAGCACCUCGGGUGGGCACUCUAAGGAGACUGCCGGUGACAAACCGGAGGAAGGUGGGGAUGACGUCAAGUCAUCGUGGCCCUUACGGCCAGGGCUACACACGUGCUACAAUGGUCGGUACAAAGGGUUGCCAAGCCGCGAGGUGGAGCUAAUCCCAUAAAACCGAUCGUAGUCCGGAUCGCAGUCUGCAACUCGACUGCGUGAAGUCAGAAUCGCUAGUAA
rnacentral:rRNA from 1 species